UUGGCCCUGUUAUUACAUUGUAGUUUGCCUCUAAAGCAACCUGAGAUCUUUGAAAGCUCCUUGGAAGCCUCUGAUGGUCAAAGGUUUGUGUCUUUCCCACGUGAUCCUAAGGAGCUCUAUACCAGAGGCCUCACACAGCCACACCAGAGUGUGGGCACCUAAGUUUUCUAGGAGGCUCUCCUGCUGCUCUGGGUCUCAUCCAAUUGGUGUCCAUCCAAACAUUCCCACCCGAGGUUAUUUAUGCUAGAGGAGGAAGAAUGCCCGCCCCAGAGCCAGUUCUCGGGGAAAAGAAGAAUUGUUGAUAUAGCCCGAGCCCCCAGAGAGGAAAGAUUUCUCUGCAACAGCUAAAGGAAGUCAGAAUGGGUGACAUCAUCAGAAAAAUAUGUGGAGCUGAUCUCGACAAGGAGUGAAGAACCCAGAGCAAGAAAGCGGUUGUAACUCCUGAGCCCAGGGAGUUGGCAGCGUCUGGGUUUCAGAGGAGCCAGCGCCUCCGAUAUAUCAGGUUGCCUUGGAAGUGAGUCUCUGCUAAACUACUCUUCUUCGGGCUGAAAGAUCUGAAUGCUGUGACCAUUAAUUUGUUGAACCAAGACUCUGAGGCUGAUAUGCAAUGUCACUUACAACAUUAAUCAGAUACUGCAUUUAAGACCUCAAUGUGGAGAAGAUGGAGGACUCAGAACCAAGGAUUUCCAAGUGAUUUCUUCCAAAGCACGAAAAACUAACUCUGUUAAGGCUGGUCUGUUCUAACUGAGGUAACUGAAUUUGCAUCUCUCCGUAGUCUACAUGCAAUAGGGAAUGGGUUCUCUGAGGAACUGAAUGACUCUCAGGGGGCUUACGAUUUGGGCCAGGGAUCCACUAGAUUUGGGGAUUACAAAGUGACAAUGACAUUUAAGCGAACUGUUAUUAAGGAGACGUGAUGUGUGAGGGCCCUGUGAUGAAUAGGGAACUAAGUGAACGGGGCUUCAGGCCAACUGGUUUCUCGUUCCUGUUCUGCCAGUGAUUGUCGUGGGAGCGCCUGUAAGUCUCUUCUGGCUUCUUCAGGCCAGAAGGACCUACAGAUGUCACUGAGAUCCGGAGAGUUUGAAUGACUCUUCAGGGAGACCCAGUGGCGUAGGGGCAGGACUGGAGCUUGGAUCUCGAUUGCUCAGUCAGGCAGCCGGCUUCUGGGCCUGCUGUAGGGUGAGCACUGUGCUAGACACUGAGAAUACAAGCCUGAGGAGCCCACCCCCAGACACUCGCAGUUUGCACAGACAAGUAUUGACAGCCCGGCACACUGAGCUCCACCUUUGAGGCCUCCACAGAGCCCCAGAUGGUGAUAAUAACAACUAUCAUUUGUCAAGCCCUUUUGUGUGUGUGUGUGUGUGCAAGGCAGUGCAUUAAGGGCUUUAAGUGCUGUAUUUUUACUUACUCCUCAUAACACCACUGCGAAAUAAGGAAGGAUAGAUGUGAAGGAUUGAAAUGUGAAAAUGCAGGCAGGUCAUGGAGGGCUUUGCAUCUCAUAUACAUCUAGGGUGUACAUUCUGUAGGCAAAGCACAAUGCUAGGACCAUAAAGUUGCAGGGACAGUGCUUGCCCUCCAGGAGCUUGUAACCUUGACUCCAAGGAGGCGGAGUCAGGUGGGCCGCGCCUGACGUACACCCCUCUCUCCUCCACCUGCUUCUCUGACAGUCAGAGAGAGAUCUGUCACAGAAGAGGCCAGAGUAGUUGAUAUACCACAGUUCUUACCCUCAAUGCAAUUUUUCAUUCUUUUCAAAUUUAACAUACAAUUCUAUCCAUCUAUGAAAAUUUAUACUUUCACUUUAUAAACAAUAGUAAGACCGUCUCUGAAUUCAUGUAUUUAUUUGUUCAUUCAACAAAUGUUUAUUGAGCUCCUACAAGGAACUUACUUGGAUAUUCAAGACCAAAUAUAUUACUGUGUUUUUACAAUCUUGGUAUUAGCCAUCAUCAGUCUCUUAGCAAAGAAUUAUUGUUCAGCUGUUAGAGAUUCUCUGUUAACAUGCUAGACUAUCAGCUCUAGGGAUGUUGGAGAUUGACGCAUAAAUAGGAUUCCAACUGGAUAAACAGGAAAAUCUUUUUUAAAAAUCUUAAAAUCCUCAGAAAGGAAUUUCUUACUUCUCUUUUAAAUUUUGAUUUUUGCCGUCACCUACAUUUAGAGGCCUUUUAUUUAUACACUUAACCUAUAGGCAGAGUAAAAAGCAGUUUGGCCAGGGGUGGGGGGUUUUCUUUGACUUAAAAUGCUCUAAUUUUUUAGCUUGUAGGCCACCCAAGACUCAGAGUGUUCAAAAGUAAAGCAAUUUAAGGGAUACUUGAAUUUACAAGGUGCAGAGUUAGAGAUAGCUCCAAUAAUUGCAUUGAGUAGCAGAAAUCAGAUUGUAAGCCUUAAAUGCCACUUGUAAUAAACUUAAGCUCCAAAUGGAACAAAUGAGAUGCUGAGUAUGAAUGUACUUUGCAGACUCCUAGGAGUUCCAGAAAUGUUACAGCAAAUAUUUAUUGAGUACCUGCCAUGAGAUGGGGAGGACAGGCAGGGCAGAGCGCAGAGACAGGGAGAGCAGUUAGAAGGGUACCAUAGUUCACCAAGCAGAAGGCCGGAAAUGGUGACAGCAGUGAAACGGGAAGGGAGCAGAUGUGAAGGAAAGAACUGACACAGUCUGCCCUCAGAGUAGAGAAGAAGCAGCUAAAGCUGGCGCUGAGAUAUCCAGAGCAGCGGUACCCAGGAAGACAGCUUAGAUGGAGGUGACGGGCUACAUUUUCAGAGGUGCUGAGUUUGAAGUAUUGAAGCAUAAUGUCCCUGAGAUGAUCUGGGGAUUUGCAACCCAGAGAAAGGCCAGGGCUAGUUUGGGAGUCACUGGGAUCUAGAAGUCAAGAGGUGAGAGAGGAGAUAUUCCAGUGGGAGGAUAUAGGGAGGAAAAGCUUGAGGAUGGAAUUGGAUGAGAAAAGAAGGACCUACGGAGGACCUAGAGAAAAGUCUGGCGAGAGAGUGAGGAAGAACAAGAGAAUAGGGCUCCAGAAGCCAGAAGAAGGGGGUUUCCCAGAGAAGGGAGCCUGGAGUGUCAGACUCAGGAAGGGGAGGAGGGGUGGCCCAGGAAGGCCAUUGGAUUGACAAGUGCUAGGUCACACAUUUGUUGGCAUUUUCCUUUGUAAGGCACUGUGACUUGCAGAAUGAAUAUCAAGUGGUUUCGUCUGCAAAAAUUUGUAGCUUGCACACAUCAAGAAUCACUGUUAAAUUUGACCCUAGUAAGCCUCUAGUAAUCACACUUCUGAGUACUACAAUUCAGGCAGUUAAAUGUGAUUUUGAUACUAGUCGUACACUUUAUUCUGUGGUCAACAGACCGACCAAAGAAUAUCCGGUGAUAGAUAAUUCUUUAAAAACUACAUUGCUGUUGAUGCAAAGGUUUCUGACAGUAAUUAAAUUUUUAUUUUGCCUUUUGCCAUAUGGCUGUUGUAUGACAUGAGAGAGAGAGAGAGAAUGUAUGUGUGUUUUCAUGGGCAUAUGAGCUUAGGACAAUGGAAUGAGAAGGCUGGGGUCAGAUAAAUCUAGUUUCACAACCUAGCUGGGCUAUUUUCCAGGGUUGUGACUCCAGAAAAGUUACUCUCUCUCUAAGCCUAACUUUUUCCAUCCAUCACUCAAAUAGGAUUAUUUUGAAGAUUGAGUAAUAUAUAAUUUGGUCAGGAUCUAUAUCAUAACAGGCAGUUAAUAGAUGCUGAUUCCCUUCCCCUUACAACCUUCUUUAGGUAUGUACAUUUCUGCAUAAUGAUCUUCUACAGGCAGAGCCUUACCUUUACGAUUCAUUUUAAUGUGUUAAUUUUGUCAUGGAAAGUGCAUGCCUCCUGUGAGAGUUUAAGUGACCUGCAAUUUCAUAUAGACAAGAAUCCAUCUGGGGAUUUUUGUUAAAAUGUAGGUUCCCAGGUCCCUGGCACAGAGAUUCUAACUCAGUAAAUUUCAGAUGGGACCCCUGAGAAUCUUCAUUUUAAACAAGCACAGCUGUGAUGAAGAUCAACAAAUGCCAGUUUCUAGGAAGUAGAGGAAGGGAGUAGACCUGAGCCUUGAUAGGCUGAUGAUUUCAGAUCCAGUUUCUAUUAAAGACAUGUGGAUGCUCAAAAGCUUUGUAUCUGUAUUAUUAAUGUUCAUGGAUUAUAUUUGUAAUAAGAUGAAACAAAUGGAUCCCAGCUAGUCAAGGAAUGGUGGUGUUAUUGCCCCGCCACCAUCGCCAUCUGCAGUGUAUCCACAGCGGUACUGAGCAACACACAGCCCCCACGUCAGCUUCUUUUCCUGUGGAGUAAGUGGUGACACCCUGACCCUAUGCCCAGAGUUUGCAAAACCAGUGUAACCUGAAUGUUGUUACCAAUAAUAUAUUUAAUGGCAGUAACAGAGCACAGUCAUGCCAGUAAAAUAUUGUGAUGGAUUUGUCUAUCUGACUCUGUGUCUUCUGGUUGAUAAAUAUCUAUGUCAUUAUAUUAUAUUCCUCUCAUUCUCUGCAUCUUGGAAUCAUAAUUUUUAGGCUAGUUCAUGUUGUUCCUCUAUCCCAACCUAAUUUUAUAGAUGAGAGAAUAAUUUAUCCUUUCUUCCCUCCUAUUCCUAGCGCUCUUCUUUGCAAAAGGAUUGAAGUGUAUUUACAUGGUUGGUGUUAAGCUGUGUAUGGAGAAUAUAAAACAUAUUUGACUUGUGUAUAUUAAAUUGUGCUUUAUGUUCCUGGUAUAUAAUUUAAAAAUCAGGUGACUUAACAGGGCUAUAUUUAUUAAAACUAUACUGAGUCAUUUCAUAACAUGGUUGGCAUUUCACUGAUGGGUUAGUUCUUUUGGAGCAGGAUGCCAGUGGCCUAGAGCCUUGCCUAGAAUCAGGUUUUCUCUGUCUAUACCCCUAACCUGAAGGGGAGAAAAACAGAACUGACUUUCAUGGAGUCCAUUCUGUACCUUAUGUGCAUUAUCUCAGCCAUCUUAUUAGAACCUCCAGAUAACCUGGUGUGGUGGAAGUUGAUGCAAAGAGGUUCAGUAAUGCUGUAGAGAUGAGAUUUUUUUUUCCCCCACACCCUGGGCUCUUACCUGACUUCAAAGUCCAGCCUCCUCUCACCACAUCACAUGUUGUUUUUCCAGCUACAUAUUAUGAGUAUGAAAUAGAUCAUUGUUCCUGAUAAUGACUUAGAGACCCUUGUCCCUGAUAUUACAGUAACCUCAGAAUUUUUGACAAGAAGCAAAUGGACAGAGGUAAUGUGCAAACUUGAAUUUUUCAACAAAGAUCAACUAUGCCAGGUAUCAGAUCAGGACCCCACCCUCAUGGGGCUUCCUUAUCUUUCUCACCUGUUCUUAUCUACCAUCUAAGUGCUGCUGCAGGCUUUUCUUUUAAAGUGGAAACACCAAUGGAUUUCUGCACUGAUAAGAACAGUGUCUUACUAUAGCUGUCACUGUCCUUGUGCCGGGCUGAAUGUUCCCAGAGUCACUCUAGCAUUUUGAAAGUUUAAAGCAGUUCCUUGGGGGCUUGCCCAGAGGUGCACAGUAAGUGUUUGUUGAUUACCCUCUGAGGCCCCAGGGAAGUCUGCAGGGAACAAGGGAAUAGCACUGAGCCCUGCAGAGGGGGUGUUGGGGGAUGCAGAAGACCACAGUGUAAGAAGCAAGACAGGAGGCCUGGAACUUGUCCCUGUGACCCACUGUGUAACUUUGGGAAAGAAAAUCAUGUAACUUUUCUGGCUUGGUUUCCUCACCUGUAACCAGAGAAGGUUUGGCUCAAUGAUGACAAAGCUUCCUUCCAGCUCUUCAGUGCAGUAAUUCGACUUCCUGUCUGACAGAAAAGUGGAGGGACUGAGACAAGCAGGUGGUAAACUCCAUGUUUGAGGUCUGCCAGGGGUCCUGAUUGCAAAGCUCCUUCCAACUGUCCUCAGAGAGAUACUAGUACUGGCUAGACUUUGGAUUCUGCCUUUACCCCGUACGCUUUUGAGGAAAGUGCAUGAAUUUAAGGGUGGGAGAGAUUGUCUGCUUUGGAGGAAAUAAGAAUUCUUAUUUGGAAGGAUUGAUUGGGAAUCAGUCAAAAGGUGACAGAAUAGGAGGUAGGAAAUCCCUUUAUUAAGGUUUAUGGCAAGAAAGAACCUUAGAAAUAAACUAGCCCAACCUCUUUGCAUUCCGGAUAAGGAUACGGAAGUCCAGGGAAAUUCGUAGGGUUUGCUCAGGGUCACACGGCUAGUGGCAAACACGGAACAGAAGCCAGUAUCCCCUGUCCGUUCAGUACGGUCUCUGCAGAAAGGGGUAGGUCCUGUCCUAAGGCAGAUUGUCAGGAGAGCAGGAGAUGGUAGUCAGCGCGCAAAGCCUAAGGAGGUGGCAGGAUUGUUCUGUUGGAGAGAGCAGCCCAUGAUGCCUGCUGGGCUUCUAGCAGACGUGGCUGGAAGGACACCACAACAUGAACCUCCCAUCCCGUUUGAAGCACUGGGACUCUUGUCAAUUAAGGUAGUCAAGAACAUUUCUUUUUAAUCUGGGAGAGGAAGAAAGCUGUUUCCUAUUUUUUAAAGCAUUUUACCUCUCUUAUUUAAGUGAAAAUUGCUCAAGUCUGCAAUGAUUUAAUUUUGAGAGGAAUGAAACAUUUUCUCGGGGAGUAUGAAGACCCAGCUUCCAGCUUCCACACCCCAUGUUGUUGGUCCCUCCUCUGCGUGUGUUCAUCCCAGGGUGCCUUGUUAUCGUGAGAAGUCCAGUAGCUGUUCGAGUCCUAGAGACACAUCCUGGGGUUGUUGCAGCAACCCCUGAAGGCCGGCUUUGUGCCAGGUGAGACAGACAGAAGCUGCCACUUCCUGCUUUGUGAGUCGGAUAUUGUAUCUAGGUCCCGUUUUGUUUGUGUUAUUUUUCCUGUUUGUGUGUUAGAACGACUUCUGAUUAUUUGUAGAGUUGAUUACAACUGGGUAAUAAGGCCAGCAAUUCAGUGAAAACAAAAGUGAAUUUAUUAUCGUGCCAGGCAAGAGAGACCACAAUGUUCAGAAUCAGUCUCCCCAAACAUACAUGCAUUUUCAUGGAAGCAUGGAGAUUUCUGAUUAACUCUAAUAGGACGCGGAAUCGCUUCUAGACCAAAGUGAGGAUUUUCUGUUUUCAAAACCUCGGCAUUCUGGUCUGCGCUUGCUUAUACUUAUUUAUUCCGGUCUUGUAGUCUCUGACCCGAACUUGGGGAGCAGGGGUCCCUGGGUCUCGGGGUGUUUGAUGCUCACCAGGGGAGGCAGUAGCCAGUCAUGCCAGCUUUCUGGGUGCCUGCUGCGAAUGCCUCCUGUGGUGUGCUCUGCCCUUCCCUUGGGCGAAUGCACAUUCUACCUUUGCUCUAAUAUGGGAAGGGGUGGGAGGACCACUUUGAGGCAGCAGAAGGCACUAGGAUAGGCGGAAAAAUAGAUGACGUGGCAGAAUGGGGUUUUACUCAGACAUUAGAGAACUGGCCUUCCCCGGGUGCUGUGCUAAAUCGGGUUAAAAAAAAAAAAAAAGAGAGAGAGAGAGAGAAAGAAAAAGAAAAAAGCCUGACCUUUAGAAUUUUUCCUGUCAAGGUCUAGCAAUUCUGGAGUUUCUUUCUCCAUUCUACGCUGUAAGCGGGCUUUUUGCACAGGAGCACCGUAAAUUACCCGGGAGAACAUUUCUUCCUAAAUGAAUAUGCGCUACGAAGCGAGUUCUUACCUUGUUUGAUUGUUUAUUUAAUAGUCUCAAUAUUUGUUUUUGCUUUUGACGUUUUGCAGGAAAUCACUCAAGAGCUUUGUGCCCUGUUUGAAUGGUCUAUUUUAAGACUCUUUUCUAUUUAAUGAUAGGCGUUUCUGAUAAGAUGAUUUGUGCUUCUCUCUAUUUUAGGAAAUACUUUUUGAGGUCUUGUGUGUGUGUUUAAGCUUUUAUGAAGCUUAAACGGGGGGAGUCUUCCCUCCAAUCCUAGCAGCUACCUUGUAUUAAAAAUGACCUAUUUUUCCCCCCACGAGGUUCCCUUAUUCAGGGAGGAUAAUAAAAGUCGGGUGAUUAGUCAUUGUGGCGUUCAGCAAACAAAUACUUUGGAGGCCAUGAUUUAUGUUACUGGUCGGAAAAAAAGGUUCUAUCUGUCUCUAGACAAGGACUCCUGUGAAAGGUACGGGCCCUGUGUUCCCAGAAGGUCCCUUGAGUGCCCUGCUUGUUGUGUUCAGGUUUCUAAAACCCGGUGGCCAUUUUCUGUGAGUUUGAAUCCCUGGGUUAAACUCCUCCCCCUGUGGAGUCUAUGAGCAUUUGUUUUCUAAAAUGAAAGCACAGGCAGAAACUCGAGCUGUUCUGCAGAACAGCCUGUUCUGUAGAUUUUUUUUUUUUUAGAUCCGUAUAUUUAAAGCAUAAUUUUUCUAAACAGCCUAUUGUGGGUUUUUAUCUGCAGUGGGUUUGGGUUUGUUUUGGGAAUUUUACUUCUUUUAAAUACAGACAACAUAGUUAUUGAUGUAACUGCUCCCUGUUCCCCUCACCCCCCCCCCCCAGAUAAUUUCACUGUAAAACAGGUGAGCAGGGGGAACUGUUUGGAUACCUACUGCCAGAAACCUUCAUUUAGUUUUAAUUAAAUUUCUUUCAGGGUAAAAUUGGCUAAAGCUAACUGGAACUUAGUUCUUUAAUACUCUUCCCUCCCUCCGCCCAACAGUUUUCCCCAGUUGAUUUCUUUUGUCUAAACCACUGUGCAUCCAUUUGUGUGACUGGCCAGAGUUUUUUGUAGCAUUUCCGCAGUACAAAAAAGCUAAGCUUCUAUGCCUCUGGGCGUAGGUGAGAUCGGCGGGUGGGCUUGCUUGACAGCUCUGCAAGUCACCUGUGUCUGGGUAGAGGUGACUGUUUCACAAUCCUGUGCUGCCUCAGAGAUGUGCGCGGCCAUGCCUGGCCUCCCUCCAGAGAUUGCAGUGUUGCCAGCAGUGGCUUCAAACUGGAAAAAUGGGAGGUGGAACUGUGGAAAACCGGGGAGGAGGAAAUGUGUGUGCAAGGAAAGUAUGUCCGUGGACUCAAAUAUCUGAGUGCUCCAUAAAAAUGAUCUCUGUACAUUGGCGUUUUGUGUCUGGAACCAAGUGGGGAACCACCAUGAAUGGGGGACUGUCUAAUGGUGGGGAGGGGGCCUGGUGGAGCAGGGCAAGAGCAUCAGCAGCUCUUCUCCAGGAGGUCCCCACCAGCAUGCAGAGGCUUACACUGCUGUCCAGACUAAAGGGAUCAGCUCUGCACUGCCCCCCCACCUCCCAACAUCUCUAGAGCGGGAUUUGCUUCCUUGGGUUGACCGCCAUUGUUCCACUGAGUACUUCUCAGAGAUUCCCCGAGGACGCUUGUGAUCUUGCUGGGUAUGCUUUAUCAUGUCGACCCCACUGUUUGACCUCCAGGCUCCAUUCCUGUGAUCUAGGUUUUAGAAUUGGUAUUGUCUGUGUGAUGCAGUGAUGGAGUGUGAUAUCAAUUCAGAAUACUUUGAGCCACUAAGUGGCUAUACCUGCUCAGCAAUUACUGCUCCCCUCGUUACAUCACCUGCUCGUGAUGAAUGGGGAACCCGCUUUUGAAAUGGAGAGCUGCGUGCCUCUGAGACUGUGAGUCUGAUUGUGUGGAGGGCUCAUUAGGAGUUACCAUGUCCUUCUCGAAGCUUGAGCAGACUCUAUCAUUAAAUGACUUUGAAGUAAAGUGAGUUUGAUACCUGUCCCCCUGUCCCCCAGAAUUCAUCUAUUAGGAAACUUUCCACAUGGGAAGGAACAAACUGGAGGGAUUCUGAAGAAACAUUAUGCGACCCAAAUAUAUUCCAUGUUAAGGCUUCUCCCAGCUACCAUUCUUUAAGAUGGAAUACUUUGGUAGUUUUGAAAGCUUGAAUACUGAUAUCUCACCAUUUAAAUUUUAGGAAGAUGAUGACUCACAGUAUAGAGACUGAAAUGUUACAGGCUUACGUGAUCUGUCCUUAUGUUAUAGAUUAGGGUCUAAAAUUCAGGUACAUUCAGGGACCGGAAGGUAAUAUGAAUGUUCAGUGUGGGCUGGGUAUCAGAAGAUAGAGUGGUUAGAUCGUGGCAAACUGGGGGCAUUAAACCUUUCUAAAAUACCAUGGACUGAAUGAAACCGUUCUGCUGGCCGAGUUCAGCCUUUGGCCUGCUGUUUUGCACAGCAGUUGUAGAGCUACGCCAUCUGACUCCAUCCACCAGUCUGGAUUUCCUCAGUGGCAGCCUGCCCAGCCUUUUCCUGCAGAGCAUUGGGCUUGAAGCUCUCCAAGACCCAGCCCAAGAAAAACUCAGAGCCAUUGAAUCUUCUCUGUGUCACAGCAAAUAAAAGAGCAACUUUGAAAUGAAGUGUGUCCGUCUCAUACAGGCAAAGUGAUUUGUUAGGAGAGUCAGCAAUGGAACACAGUUUGUGUGUCCAAGGACAUCUGGAGAGGCAUCAGACAUAGCAGCCUUGAUUAAGCUUCCCAGUACUCAGUGUGCCCAUCUCGGGACAGAACAGGAAGAACCCACCAAAGGGAGCCCCUCCUUUUCCGGGCAUGUCACUCCCAAGGCAGCUGAAAGAAGCCAAGCCUGCAGAGGCUAACCUGGAUGGCACUGGGCCACGGGGUGACAGCAGAGGAUGGCAGGCAUUUCUUGAUAUACCUGGUCUAUGGUAUUGACCUGCGUGGCCCAAGGAUGCUUUGUGAAAUAUCAGGCAGUUAGCAACUUCCUAACUAGUCCUAGACUGGGACAAUGUGAGAAUUGUCCUCUCUCUGUUGACACUCGAAUGACCUUCUGCACAUCCUGGAAUUUAUAAUGCCUUCCCUUUUUUCUAAACAUCUUUUAAUCACUCUCAUUUUCGUCAGCUCUCAUGGUGCUAAGUGAGUCAUAAUGUCUGUAAAACACUUCGCACAGGGCCUGGCUUGUAGAAAGUGCUCGGUAAAUAUUAGCUUUUAUUGUCAUUGGCAUCAUCAUCAUCGCCAUUAUAACUAUUGCCAUUUCCCCAGCAGAUACAGAAACUUGGCUUCCUUAAACGUUGAACUUGGUUGUGUACCUCCACCAUCUCUAGCCUGACAUAACUGAGGAUGGACCACACGUACAUAAUCCACUGUGCCAGAAAAUGCACUUAACAUGAUCCCCACUGACUCACACACAGUAGUGUUCGGGGAGCACUACUCUAGACGCUGGCGGAGCACAGAGACAGACUUGCAUAGAGAUUGGUCCUCGUGGACUUACUAGCUAGGAGGUACUUUGGGGCAGUCUUGGGAGAGGCUGAGGGGGUGCCUUUUACAUUAUGCUGUAGGGGUGUAUGAUGGGGUGGCUUUGAUGACACUAAGAAUCUGAUUCUGAAAGGCUACUGUCUCCUGGCUGUGACUUUAACCUUAAGAAAGCACCUGGUUCCUCCCCUCUCCCUCCCUCUCUCCCCUCCCCCAUGCCAUUGACCUUCUGGCCAUGCAAACCCUGUUGCCAAGACGGGAAAUAUUCCUGUUAAAGGGUAGGAAACCUUUGUGUGUCAGGGAGCCAACACAAAGAGUAACAGGUUAGGGUAGGACUUUAAUGACAGAACAGAUAUCAAUGUAAAAGUGAGGGCAGUCGGUCUCAGUGAAGGUUUUGGGACCCUGGUAGGUGAUGAGAAGGAAGGUGUAACUGAACUUUCUUUAAUGCUGGUGACUGGGAGCAUUGCCUGUUCCUAAGAAACAUUUUGAAAAAUAGAAAUAACCAAUCCCGUGCUGUCGUUGCUGUCAUGCUGAUAUACUGUUUGGUUUGGAAGCUACUAAGGUGGUGAGGAGAAAAGGGCCAUAGUAUCUUAGAGAUGAAAUCCUAGCUUCAUAGCAAAUUAGUUUAGUUUAGAAAGUGAAUUAACCAAAAGCCUUUUCAGCCCUUCAAAGCUCUCACCUGUAUUUUGAGGGUAAUGUGGUUUAGCGUUUUGUUAAUUUAUGAUCGUGGUGAUGUUUUCCAUUCUGUAUGGCACUUUCAAAUGGCCCAGGCCCUAGGCUGCCCAAGACUUGGAAAUGCAGCUGCAUAAUUAGUGGUCCUGGAAAUGGCUCUCUCUUCUUGUUUUCUGCCACCUCUUCCUGCCACUGUUGGGGAACUUAGCUUGAAGUACUGGAUCCCAGUCCCCUCUCCCCAUCCAUCCAGAUGAGUUACUGCCGUGGUGCCUGGUCGCCCCUCCCAAGAUAGGUCUACAUCCCCAAAGCUGGGAAUGUGGCCUUUUUGGAAAAAAGGUCUUUGCAGAUGCAAACUUUUUAAGGAUCUUGAGAUAAGUUCAUCCUAGAUUAUCAGGUGGAUCCUAAAUCUAAUGGUAAGUGUCCUUAUAAGAGACACAGAAGAGAGACGCAGGAAGAGGAGAGGGCCAUGUGAAGAUGAAGCAGAGAUUGGAGCUCUGUGGCUACAAGCCGAGGAACCAGGGACCAGCAGAAGCUAGAAGGGGUGAGGAAGGAUUCUCCCCGCCGAGUCUUCAGAGAGAACAUGGCCCUGCCAACACCUUAAUUUUGACUUCUGACCUCCAGGACUAUAAGAGAAUAAAUUUUUCUUGUUUUUAAGUCACUAAGUUUAUGGUAGCUUGUUCAGCAGCCUCAGGAAACUGAUACAGUGUCAAACCUAGCUUUGUUCCCAAAGUGCCUGGAAACUUAUUAAAAAUCAGUUUCUGGGGUCUUACCCCUGGCUGUCUGAUUCAGUCAGUCGGGGGUGGCGCCAAGAAACUAAGUUUUUAAUAAGAGCCUCCAGGUGACGCUUGGACAUCCAUUACCCUCUCAGUAUCAGUGUUCCUCAGUGCCGCCUUUUGGGUUACUUUCUUUUCACCCGCUUUCCUUAGGCAUUAUCCAUACUCAUGUAUGCAGCCGCCUCCUGUGUGUCCAUGCACUGUACAGCUGAAUCUUCAGCCCUGCUUCCUUUCGGCGUCAAAUCCACGAUGGAUGCCUGUUGGUUGAGGGGGCCACCUGUGUCUUCCACAGCCUCCUCUGAGGGAGCCCAGACCUCGUUCUCCUCCCAGACCAGCUCUUUGAUCUGGGUCCCUACCUGUUAAUGACCCAUCUAGGCCACAGAACUGGUGUGUCAGCCUUCAUCCUUCCCUCUUUCUUGCUCCCUCAGUUUCCGACUAGUUGAUUUCUUCCAUCCAGAUGGCUUUUCUUUCCUUUUUUGUCAUCCCCACCUGUUUCCUUGCCUUCUUUCCAGCCCCACUCCAGACAGCCUUCUCAUCAGACUGUUCCUGUCUGCGAAUGUGUCAGAUGAUUCCUGUUUAGACUGCUCCCAGAAUGACCUGUCUGCAAAUUUGUCAGAUGAUUCCCACUUCAUAUCUUUUAAAUGACGCACUGUUGUCUGGGCUGCACAUUGGAAUCACCUGGAGUUGUUGGUUUUGUUUUUUUUUUAAUCUCAAUACGUAGCAUCCACCCAAGACCAAACAAAUCAGAAUCUCGAGUUGGAGCCUGAGUGUUGGUAUCUUUUUCAGGUUCCCAUGGGUGAUUCUAGUAGGCAGUUAUGGGUUGAGAACUACCAGGCUAGAAGAUAAAGUCCAAAGUCAUCGUGAUGCUCUCUUCACGACCGGGUCCCUGACCAGUUUCUCCCUCUCCAUCUCCCAUCCAGCCCUGCCCUUGCUGCUUGCAGCAGACAUCCCCACCCCUUUGCCAUUCCCCAAAUGUGUCAUUCCGCUUCCUGCCUCCUUGCCUUUGCUUGACCUCUCCCUGAAAUAGAAUGUCUUUUCCCCUCUUGGAUUCCAAAGAAAGGCUCCCUAUCUUUCAAGAUUUGUCUCCACCUCUCCUUCCCUGACUCUCCUUCCCUAGGCUCAGUUGAAGGCUGCCUCCUCCAAAGCCCUGGGCACGCUCACUAGAGCGCAUCCAUCAUCACAGAGGAGCUGUCUGUCUCCUCCAUUGGACUGUGGGCUCCAGGAUGUUGCUGGAAGGGGAAAGAAAAAAGGAUUAAACAAGGCCAAGGGAAUGGGAUGGUUUUUCUGCUUCUCUGAAUGAUUGUACCCACACUGCCUGAUAGCUCAUCAGAUACUUGUUAAGAAAACAAAACUCUGCUUGGUUUUAAUGAAUGUGAUGAAGUUGUAGUAGUAGUAAUGUGUAAUACCAUUAAUUGAACCCUUGCUAGCUAAAGUCUCUACAGUCAUUGCCUCAUUUAACCAUCAGAGUAAUCAUCUCAAGUAUCAUUCCCACUUUAGAGAAUGAAUUAAACAAAAUAUUAUGAGGUUAGAUACUGGAAAAUGGCAGAGAAUAUGAAGUAGAAUGCAUAGAUGAUCACCUGAGCAGCAGUAUGUCAAUGGUAUGUAGGCUGAUCAGGGAAAAACCAGUUUAAUUGGGUAAAAAUAGCUAAUGAUUUGUAGGUUUUUUUUUUUUUGAGUGGCAAAUACACAUUUGACACCAAAUUUGGCAUAAAACAAACACAGCCAUUAAGCAUAUCAAUCAGAAGAUGUGAUGGUGACUUACACUAACAUUUGGAAUCCCAUAAAUGUAGUCUUCCUUUUAAGUAUGCUGGAAGGAGUUUGUGACCCAGAGUCACAAGAUCAGGGGCGAAAACCCAGCUUGCCAAUUAUAAGCUGUGUGGUGGUGGGAUUUUGGCUUAAUUUUUUCCGAGCUUCAGCCUCUUCAUCUUUGAAAUGGAAAUAUUGUUUCACAGCCCACAGGGGUGUCAUGAGAAAGAAGAGGAGACCCUGUGUAUGAAAGUGAUUUGUAAAUGGUGUAGGGCUGAACAGGAAGAAGGUGAGGUGUUCUUGUCUUUGUUCUGUGUUUGGGUCCAGAAAGUUGGCGUUUGGGAAGAGUCCGGAUGGGGAAGGCGGUGUUCUACCGGGUGGGCCAAUAUGGGCACAGAAACAAUUGCCACUGCCCGAAUUUCCUGGUGGGGCAGGGUACCAGGAUUCUGGGAUGGGAGCCCCUGAGAAACAGAUGGCCUGAACUAGUUAGGGAGGAUGAAGGAAUGAGAAGAAUGGUUUGAAAGUUAGAGUCUUGCUGUGCUUAUGAUACAGUGGAGCUGAGAGGAUGUCACGGUCAGGGUUUUGCAUUGGGUCACCUGUAACCAAGGACCAACCCAGGGACCACCAAUCAGCUCCAAAGGCUUGAAAUCUUGUUCUUUCACUCGUAGGUUAUUCCUAACAAUUUCAACCCCAGCAGCUCUGAAGUUUUCUGGAUGUCAGUGCAAGUGCUCACUCACCUCGAGGUCUGGGUGUCUCCAUUCCAAACACGUGUUGACACACCAGGGCUUCUCCUCACAGGGUCAUGGCUGCUUCCUGAUAGGGUGGCUUCAACCUCCUUCCUCUUUAAAGGUGAAACCAAGGCUUUGUCUUUUUUAUUCUAAUAGAUCGAAAAAUAUUUUCUGAGUCACCAUCAGUAUAACAGUCCCAGUCUUGAAAUAUGAUCUGGGUGGGUUAGAAGAGUGGUCACAUUCUGCUGCUCUCCAGAGGGGAGACUUUUUGUCUCAGACAUCACCACCCUAAACUUAGCUGAAUGUUUCCGGAGUGGGAAUCAGGGUAACAUGUCUAAGGAAUCGGUAGGUAUAUUUUAAGACUGAAUUGACGUCCUAAGAUAUUCCAGCAGGCUAGCGAUAAAGGACCAAGGCUGCUCCUUGGUUACAGGUGACCCGAUGCAGACAUCAAGUGAACACGAUUCCAUUUAACCAGAAUGAGUGAUUUUUUGAGUUUCAGUUUAAAAGUUCAGCCAUGGAAGUUGGGAAGCCAAGGAGGAAGAAGAACUCAAGGGAAGAAAGGAGAAGUCCAUGCCAAAAAAAAAAAGAAAAAGUCUGUGUAUUAUAAAUAAAAUCAGUGAUCACGCACUUAGUAUUUGCUGUGCACUUGCACUGGCUGAGUGCUCCGAAACUCUCCUUUAAUCCUCCCAGCACCCCAUGAAGCGUGUAGGAUUUGUUCCAUUUUGUAUGUGAAGACACUGAGGCUUAGGGAGGUCAAGUACAUUCUAGUGUGAGCGGGUCCCAGCAACUGGCAGUUGAGGAGUACGGUGUACUGCAAGGUGUAGGGGCCAGAAGGCUGCAAACCUGUUUUGGUGACACCAUGAGACCUUAGGCCGGUCAUUCUACUUCUCCGUGCCUCUGUUUUCUCAUGUCUGAAAUGAGAGGGUGAGGCUAAACUAGCUCAAGUUUCUUGUCUAAAAUUCUCUUUGUUGGGGCAUCAUUGGAGUUGGUGACGUUUAGCCCCGGAAAGGGACAUGCAGAGGAGCCAUUCUGGGCUGUCACGUGGCAGAGGCUGCAGCUGAGGGCCCGUCAGCAGCUCCCCGUGAGGACUGCGCCUCUCAGGAGGAAAUGCCCACACUGGGUGGAGUGGUCCCCACCCCUGGUCUGAAGAAUCUCUAGAAUCCGUUUGUGGCAAAUUAAGGAGUUAGAAGGUGCACUCCACUAAGAAGCUUGCUCUCUUUGCUUUUUGUUUAUCUCAAACACCCAGGGUCUGUUUACUUUGAAGCGAGGCUCCCUCCUCUGCCCAUUUUCAGUAGGGUUUCGGGGACUGGAUUCCCAGUCACUCGGGACCAAGGAGCUUGUCUUUGUGUGGACUCAGCACCAUCUUGUGGACAUGGCCCUGUGAACGGGGAGUGGACUCUGGUCAUCAGCCGUGAAGGGACGGCAGGACACAUCCCUGGGAGAGCUGCUGCCAGCGAAGGGCUCUGUCUAAGGGGUGGUGUUUCUAAAAGGGGCUGCCUGUGCUCAGAGCUGGGAGCUGCCUUGGGGAAUUUACUUUCAUGACUCUAACCCUGUUGUUACGCCCAUGACGCUGGAAGAGCAGAGUGGGCAGGCUGGUGACACAGUAGCCGGACCUUCCCAGAUACAGCACUGGGUCCUGUUUCCUAGGGAGGGAGUCAGUACAGAGGCCUCCUCAGGAGGGAGCCCCAGGCCCCUUCCCCUCUGGCCUCCCUCCCCCUGUAUCGUGCAUCCAGGCCCACCUCUCCUGAUCUGGGACUCCACCCUGCCGCCUCUCCUUCUUGCUGGCAUCCAUUGCCACUCAGAGCAUAAGCUGCCUUACCAUGCUUAAAGGCCUCCUUCCCAGCAAGGUGAGGGUGGGACAGAUUGAAGUUGUGACGGGAACAGAGCACUUGGGUUGGAAAAUGCUUUGCCUUCCCUGACCCUGUCUUCUAACACUGGUGAGGCCAGCCACCGCGAGGCUUUUGCUAUUUCUGUGUGUGAAGAAACUGAGUGAUAAUCUUAUCCAGGGCUGAGAGGAUGGUCUGAAGACAGUCUUGCUCAGUGCCUUUACCAGAUGGGAAAGAGCAAACUGUGGACCUAGAGAGGCCACUUGAAGCGUAGGAGCUCUCUCUGGUUCUUCAGUGCCCCAGCCUCCUCUCCUCUGCUUAUUCUUCACAGAAGGGUUGGCAGGGGGCUGUGGGGAUAUUUUUAAUGGACAUGCAGGACAUCCCAAAACAGUAGAG